CCCUUCUCUCCCGCCUCUUGGAGCUCCUGAAAGAGUGUGCCGUGUGUUGCUUUCAGCUUGUUUGAGACUGCUGUAACCUUCUACUCAGUGCUUCUACUACGGGCGCUUUCUGCUCAGAAGCCCCCGUUUUGUGAAUGGGCUUCAGUCCGCUCUAACUUCAACCGUGCCCGGGUAGCGCAAGGAACGAAUUCAGAUAUGCAAACAGGCUAAACGCAGUUCUGGGACGCGCACGCUGGACAGCAGUAUGGAGUGUCCGGUGUGCAAGGAGGACUUUGCAGUGGGAGAGCCCGUCAGACAGCUACCCUGCAACCACUUCUUCCACUCAGACUGUAUAGUACCCUGGCUGGAAAUGCAUGAUACGUGUCCUGUGUGUAGGAAGGGGCUGAAUGGAGAAGACAGCAACACCCAGAACCCCCCAGAAUCCCCCUCUCUAAAUACGGACCCCCGCACACAGGAGAGAUGGUCCUUCUGAAAUACACCUCCCCCUCAUCCCCUUACCGCACCUCUCUAACCUCCUUUUAAUCUCUCUCAUCUGUCCUUCAUUCCACUUUUUUGACCCCCCCCCCUCUUCUACGAACUACUGCACACGGGAGAUAAGGACUUUCUGAAGGAUAGACCUCCAUCUCUGCCUCAUUCCUCCUCUCUGAAUCAUCUCUUCAUCUACAGUGAUAGGAUGGUCAUCUCAGUAUGACUGUUCCUGUCUCAAUUCCCCUGGAACCAUGUUCACACAGAGUACACACACAUAUAUCAUGAUUCAGUAGAACCACACACACACGUCAUGAUCCAUUAGCUGUCCUCUGCCUCAUCAUGACCAAGUACUUGCCUUUACCUCGCUUCAAACAUCAACCACAUCUCGCUUUUUCUACUCUUUUCUCCAUAUUCCUCUUUUUCCAUCCUUCUGAAAAGCACUGCUGUAAAACAAUGUCUCUCCCUACCUGUCUACUCCUGGGAUGCAUCUCAAUAGUCUAGUGGCUUCCUCUCCUCCUCAUCUGCACUGAACAUGGUGGAUGCUCACCAGGAAUUUGAUUUUGCCUUUCUAGCUCUGUCACAUCAGUGCAGAAAGGAGACAUCAUUUUGACUAUUGAGACGGGGCCCACAACAAUCUACUGUCUUUCGCUGUCAUUCUGGUGUAUAUAUUACAAACAGAUUGCAUCGCUCUGUCAUUCUGGUGUAUAUAUUACAAACAGAUUGCAUCGCUCUGUCAUUCUGGUGUAUAUAUUACAAACAGAUUGCAUCGCUCUGUCAUUCUGGUGUAUAUAUUACAAACAGAUUGCAUCGCUCUGUCAUUCUGGUGUAUAUAUUACAAACAGAUUGCAUCGCUCUGUCAUUCUGGUGUAUAUAUUACAAACAGAUUGCAUCGCUCUGUCAUUCUGGUGUAUAUAUUACAAACAGAUUGCAUCGCUCUGUCAUUCUGGUGUAUAUAUUACAAACAGAUUGCAUCGCUCUGUCAUUCUGGUGUAUAUAUUACAAACAGAUUGCAUCGCUCUGUCAUUCUGGUGUAUAUAUUACAAACAGAUUGCAUCGCUCUGUCAUUCUGGUGUAUAUAUUACAAACAGAUUGCAUCGCUCUGUCAUUUUACUCUGUUGAUGACUUGUCUUUUGUUUCACAUUUCAAUCACUAUUUUUUUAAUGUAAAUACUUUUAGUCCAACAUCUUCUGGUUUGAGAAGAGAACAACAAAGCAUAUUGAGAAUGGAGACAAAUGUGAAUCCCUGGGUAUUAGUCUGUGUAUAUUAUUAUAUGAUGUAUUAAUAAUUAAAAAAAUAUUAAAAACCA